rnacentral:lncRNA from 1 species
UUAAAACCUUAAAACAAGUCAAAAUACAUAAGAAAACAUAUGUAUUACCCUUCUCGAGGGUUCCGACAACCGAGAUUCCACCAGACUACAGGAAUUCCGAGACCGGACUCGAGCCGGGUAUUACAACGGCGGUCCACAGAGUCUCUGAGAGCGCGGUCCCGGGCAUCCAUCUCCAUAAAAAUGCCCGUUGUCUGGCAAAAGAGAGAACAAAUGGAAUCAGAAAGUGAAG